UAUUUUUUAAUUUCUUUAUAUAUUUCUAUUUAUUUCAGUUUGAUCAACAAAGUCAAAACGUAUCAAGAGAGUUAUGAUGGAUUACUGUUCUGAGAAGCCCAGUGCCAGUUGGGAAAUAGCAGCUGGAACCUAAGCUGCUACAGUUUUGAAAGCAAACUGGGCUGUAUUGGUUACUGGACCCUCAAAUCCAUUUCUGCUGCAUAGCUAGGCAGGUAUGU
rnacentral:lncRNA from 14 species